CCUACGGGUGGCAGCAGUGGGGGAUAUUGCACAAUGGGGGGAACCCUGAUGCAGCGACGCCGCGUGGGUGAAGGAGUGCUUCGGCAUGUAAAGCCCUAUCGGCAGGGAAGAAGCAAGACGGUACCUGACUAAGAAGCCCCGGCUAACUACGUGCCAGCAGCCGCGGUAAUACGUAGGGGGCGAGCGUUAUCCGGAUUCACUGGGUGUAAAGGGAGCGUGGACGGCCAUGCAAGCAAGGGGUGAAAGCCCGGGGCUCAACCCCGGGACUGCCCUUGGAAGGGCAUGGCUGGAGUGCGGGAGGGGCAGGCGGAAUUCCUGGUGUAGCGGGGAAAGGCGUAGAUAGCAGGAGGAACACCGGCGGCGAAGGCGGCCUGCUGGAACAUAACUGACGCUGAUGCGCGAAAGCGUGGGGAGCAAACAGGAUUAGAUACCCGGGUAGUC
rnacentral:rRNA from 1 species